rnacentral:rRNA from 1 species
CGACCUCAGAGUAGGUGAGA